UACAGAGGGUGCAAGCGUUGUUCGGAAUUACUGGGCGUAAAGCGCGUGUAGGCUGUUCGGAAAGUCGGGUGUAAAAGCCCUGGGCUCAACCUAGGAAGUGCACUCGAAACUCCCGAACUGGAGUCCCGGAGAGGAAGGUGGAAUUCCCGGUGUAGUGGUGAAAUGCGUAGAUAUCGAGAGGAACACCGGUGGCGAAGGCGAGUCCCUGGACAACACCUGACACUGAGGCACGAAAGCUAGGGGAGCAAACAGG
rnacentral:rRNA from 1 species